GCACACUGCAGAGGAUUCUGUAAACAGACCUUGGUGUAUAUUUGAGCUCGUGGACGAGGAAAGUUUUUCUCGGUGAUUGUCCUUCAGUCAAAGGCUUCAUGAGGACUUCCAUCAUCCCGUUGGGCAGCUCACGCUCACCGUAAAGCUUCACAGCCUCCUCUGAGGGAAUUGAUAUAGGCAGUUCACGGAGGAGCUCAGUAGCAGGAGCCUUGUAGUGAGUGUUUUGUGUCAUCCAGUCAAAC
rnacentral:lncRNA from 1 species